GUCGAGCGGUAACAGGUCCUUCGGGAUGCUGACAAGCGGCGGACGGGUGAGUAAUGCAUAGGAAUCUGCCCGGUAGUGGGGGAUAACCUGGGGAAACCCAGGCUAAUACCGCAUACGUCCUACGGGAGAAAGGGGGCUCCGGCUCCCGCUAUUGGAUGAGCCUAUGUCGGAUUAGCUGGUUGGUGAGGUAAUGGCUCACCAAGGCAACGAUCCGUAGCUGGUCUGAGAGGAUGAUCAGCCACAUCGGGACUGAGACACGGCCCGAACUCCUACGGGAGGCAGCAGUGGGGAAUAUUGGACAAUGGGGGCAACCCUGAUCCAGCCAUGCCGCGUGUGUGAAGAAGGCCCUCGGGUUGUAAAGCACUUUCAGCGAGGAAGAACGCCUGGCGGUUAAUACCCGCCAGGAAAGACAUCACUCGCACAAGAAGCACCGGCUAACUCCGUGCCAGCAGCCGCGGUAAUACGGAGGGUGCAAGCGUUAAUCGGAAUUACUGGGCGUAAAGCGCGCGUAGGUGGCUUGAUAAGCCGGUUGUGAAAGCCCCGGGCUCAUCCUGGGAACGGCAUCCGGAACUGUCAGGCUAGAGUGCAGGAGAGGAA
rnacentral:rRNA from 1 species